AUUUCUGACAGAACCCCAACACCAGGGAGAAGGCUCAGGCCCUUUGGUGGCCUGGCUGCAUCAGACCGCAGACGGGCCCCCCAGGAAGGACCUGGCCCAGGUGGUGGGGAACCUGAAGGUCCGUGUGAAGGGAGUCAGGAAGCUGAGGGCGGAAACAGAAACCAUGGACCCAGGCCAGACCGCCCAGGACCCAAACCAGCUCCCCAAUGUGCCUGACAGCCCCCCCACAAAGGCCCUGGCCCAGGUCAUGGGGAACCUGAGGUUCCGGGUGAAGGGCCUCAAAAAGAAGAGGGUUCAACCAGCGACCACCUCUCGGCUUGAUGAGGAGAAGCCUUUGGGCCGCCCUUCAGGCCGGAGCCCCUUCCCUGGCCAGACCGCCCCGGACCGAGGCCAGACCGCCCCGGACCGAGGCCAGACCGCCCCGGACCACGGCCAGAACGCCC
ensembl:lncRNA